UACGUAGGGUGCGAGCGUUACUCGGAAUUACUGGGCGUAACGCGUGCGCAGGCGGUCCGCAAAGUCUGAUGUGAAAGCCCCGGGCUCAACCUGGGAACUGCAUUGGAAACUAACGGGCUCGAGUGUGGCAGAGGGGGGUGGAAUUCCACGUGUAGCAGUGAAAUGCGUAGAGAUGUGGAGGAACACCGAUGGCGAAGGCAGCCCCCUGGGCUAACACUGACGCUCAGGCACGAAAGCGUGGGGAGCAAACAGG
rnacentral:rRNA from 1 species